rnacentral:rRNA from 1 species
AACGUACGCUGGCGGCACGCCUAACACAUGCAAGUCGAACGAAGUAGCAAUACUUAGUGGCAGACGGGUGAGUAACAUGUGGGUAUCUGCCCUUUGGCCUGGAGUAACACGAGGAAACUUGUGCUAAUACCGGAUAAGUCUUUACGGAGAAAGCUUUAUGCACCAUUGGAUGAGCCUGCACUUGAUUAGUUUGUUGGUGGGGUAAUGGCCUACCAAGACUGUGAUCAAUAGCUGAUUUGAGAGGAUGAUCAGCCACAUUGGGACUGAGACACGGCCCAGACUCC